AGCAAGAGCAUAUAUUAAAGUUGUUGCAGUUAAAAAGCUCGUAGUUGGAUUUCUGGUUUAAUGCACCUGGCCCGCGGCCACUAGGCUUGUGAGUGCCGGCGCGCGUUUACCAUCCUUCUAGAAAACGAUUCUGCCAUUAACUUGGUUGGGAUCGCGGUCUAGAUCUUUUACUUUGAAAUCUAUUUUGUUGGUUUCUAUAACUGAAGUAAUGAUUGAUAGGGAUAGUUGGGGGUGCUAGUAUUGGCCGGCCAGAGGUGAAAUUCUUGGAUUCGGUCAAGACUAACUUAUGCGAAAGCAUUCACCAAGGAUGUCUGCU
rnacentral:rRNA from 1 species